AUUGCAGUUGAUACUGGGGACCUUGAGUGCGGCAGAGGCAGGCGGAAUUCGUGGUGUAGCGGUGAAAUGCUUAGAUAUCACGAAGAACUCCGAUUGCGAAGGCAGCUUGCUGGACCGUAACUGACGUUGAUGCUCGAAAGUGCGGGUAUCAAACAGGAUUAGAUACCCUGGUAGUCCGCACAGUAAACGAUGAAUACUCGCUGUUGGCGAUAUACUGCCAGCGGCCAAGCGAAAGCGUUAAGUAUUCCACCUGGGGAGUACGCCGGCAACGGUGAAACUCAAAGGAAUUGACGGGGGCCCGCACAAGCGGAGGAACAUGUGGUUUAAUUCGAUGAUACGCGAGGAACCUUACCCGGGCUUGAACUGCAGCGGAAUGAUUUGGAAACAGAUCAGCGAGCAAUCGCCGCUGUGGAGGUGCUGCAUGGUUGUCGUCAGCUCGUGCCGUGAGGUGUCGGCUUAAGUGCCAUAACGAGCGCAACCCUUACCGAUAGUUGCCAUCAGGUGACGCUGGGGACUCUAUCGGGACUGCCGUCGUAAGAUGUGAGGAAGGUGGGGAUGACGUCAAAUCAGCACGGCCCUUACGUCCGGGGCUACACACGUGUUACAAUGGGGGGUACAGCAGGCCGCUACCGGGCGACCGGAUGCCAAUCCCUAAAACCCCUCUCAGUUCGGACUGGAGUCUGCAACCCGACUCCACGAAGCUGGAUUCGCUAGUAAUCGCGCAUCAGCCACGGCGCGGUGAAUACGUUCCGGGGCCUUGUACACACCGCCCGUCAAGCCAUGAAAGCCGGGGGUACCUGAAGUGCGUAACCGCAAGGAGCGCCCUAGGGUAAAACUGGUGAUUGGGGCUAAGUCGUAACAAGGUAACCA
rnacentral:rRNA from 1 species